GUGAAAUUCGUAAUUCAUACAGGGGAAGGCUAAUUUUAGCAUGUAGCAUAGCUAGUUAUUAUCCCGCAGGGCACCAUUAGAUAAAAAUAGAAAAGUAGAUAACAUGUAUAAUUGAGAAAUGUAUUUUAUGCUCAAACUGUUUUUUAUUUUCAUUAUACAGAUCCACGUAUCUAUUUGCAACAUGAACAUAAAUAUUGCUGUUCCCUUUGCUCAUACAAGCUACAGAACCAUUUAGCACAAACUGCUAUGGUUCAACAUAACGAUGCCUCUGAAUGUUCUUGAAGCUGUUCUCCAGGAGGUGGCGCUAGCACAGGGAGACUCAGCUUACCUCACCUUGGCAUUGACCUGCAAGUGCUUUGAAGCCGUUGUGUCUGAGCCAGUUUUCAGGAAGAAGACUCACUUUGCUUGGCUGGAUGGUGAGAUCAACUGGGGCAAAUUUUCAAAAACAUUCAAGGCAGAAAACCGGAUUCCUUUUGCGGUUGUAACGUGUUUUUCCUGCAACCGGUAAUAUAAAGACUGUGGGCUUCACCGGCAAUGGAAGACAAGGAGAGUACCCUGGUUACUACUGUGAUGGCCGACCUGGACACUGCGCUGACUGUCAAUACUGAAUGCAAGGAGAAUAUUAGUUGCUUUCCACAGUCUUUCACACAUUUCAGUUGUCACACAUUGUUCGUUUUUUUUGUGACAUGCCAUUUUAAAUCAUUUCUGCUAAAGAAUAUUUGCCUUUUGACUUGUGCAGUCAUCCUUUUUAAUAAUGUGUUCUUUCAAUAUUAUUUACAUUUU